UAGGUAGCAGAGAUGUAUAUGUAUGUAUACAGACUAUAAUAAUAUGGAAGGGGGGGUUAGCUGUUGUAUUGCGACACACAAACCUUGAGCAGCAGCUGGUACUUCAUGAUCCUCUGUACCGGCUUGAUGAGCAGGUCUGUGAUUUGCUGCCGGUGUCCCAACCGCUGCUUCAGGUCCUACAAAGUCAGACGUUACUUGAUGGAUGGAAAUUAUGUUUGUAAUAUCUGAAUUAAAUGUUCACAAUAACGGCCGCGUACCUCGAAGUAGGUGUCGAUGUACUCUGAAACAAUGUGCUCUGACUUGGGCUUAUUCUGGCAGUACACUACGUACAUGUUUAGUCUCCGUUCCUGGAUAUGAAGACCACACACAUUUACAACACGAUCAAAUGUACACAAGUAAAGCAAGAGGUUAGAAAAUUCAAUGCAGACCUGUUUGAGAAAGAGUGGUCCCAGUCUGUCAGGGUCCUCCAGACAUUUCUCCAACUCCCCGAGGAAGAAACUGAGCGAGACAGGAAGAGGAAAGAGAAGGUGAGCUACUGUGAAUCUGAUCUGAGGAAACGAUCAACUGAAACUGCUCCACGUACUCUUUGUGCCAGUCGUAGAUCUGGUGGAUGUUGCCAAACACAAUUUUGUCUUUCCCUUUCAUAUCGUCAGGGACGCCCUCCUCCUUCAUCUGGCACAUGUAGCCCUUAUGAUGGACACACACAGUAAUACACAUUUACAAGGACUUAAGUGUGCUGGAAAACCGUAACAUUUUCAGAUCUAUUGAACACUUCAAUGAUGUACAACUAAUAACUAACUGGACAGUUCCACUGCUCAUGAAGUGUCAACUCACCUCCACCACCAGGCCAAGAUCUCGGACAUAAUCUCUCUCCCCCUCCACCAACUCCAGCAGAAUGACGCUGGUCCUGCGUUCAUCCAUCUCUUCGAUGGGGGAGGAGGAGGAGAGGAGGGAGUUGUCGGAGGGGUUGAAGGAGGGAGAGCUGCUGUCGCCCUGUUCCACAGACAGAGAGCUGGGUCGGUCCUCCAGGGCCUGCACCAGGAGAACCAGCUCCUCGAUGGCGCUCACCAACUCAGCGGCACUGGGCGUCUCCGAACUGGACGGACGCACCGACAGGCGAGAGGAGGUCUGAGACAAAAAAAACAAGCAUAAGAACUCAAGCCCUUUCUGCGAACAGUAAUUCUGCUCUUUGAAAAACUCUAAAGUAAAGUAACCUGGCUAUAGUUUAGAGUGAAUACAAGCUUCACUUAACCAUUUAAAGAGGUCAAUGAAUUAAAUCAGCUAUUUAAAAUAUAAAAAUUCUUCAUCUCUGUGACAGACGAUAAAUACUCUUCU